CGGGACACGUGGUAUCCUGUCUGAAUAUGGGGGGACCAUCCUCCAAGGCUAAAUACUCCUGACUGACCGAUAGUGAACCAGUACCGUGAGGGAAAGGCGAAAAGAACCCCGGCGAGGGGAGUGAAAAAGAACCUGAAACCGUGUACGUACAAGCAGUGGGAGCACGCUUAGGCGUGUGACUGCGUACCUUUUGUAUAAUGGGUCAGCGACUUAUAUUCUGUAGCAAGGUUAACCGAAUAGGGGAGCCGAAGGGAAACCGAGUCUUAACUGGGCGUUAAGUUGCAGGGUAUAGACCCGAAACCCGGUGAUCUAGCCAUGGGCAGGUUGAAGGUUGGGUAACACUAACUGGAGGACCGAACCGACUAAUGUUGAAAAAUUAGCGGAUGACUUGUGGCUGGGGGUGAAAGGCCAAUCAAACCGGGAGAUAGCUGGUUCUCCCCGAAAGCUAUUUAGGUAGCGCCUCGUGAAUUCAUCUCCGGGGGUAGAGCACUGUUUCGGCAAGGGGGUCAUCCCGACUUACCAACCCGAUGCAAACUGCGAAUACCGGAGAAUGUUAUCACGGGAGACACACGGCGGGUGCUAACGUCCGUCGUGAAGAGGGAAACAACCCAGACCGCCAGCUAAGGUCCCAAAGUCAUGGUUAAGUGGGAAACGAUGUGGGAAGGCCCAGACAGCCAGGAUGUUGGCUUAGAAGCAGCCAUCAUUUAAAGAAAGCGUAAUAGCUCACUGGUCGAGUCGGCCUGCGCGGAAGAUGUAACGGGGCUAAACCAUGCACCGAAGCUGCGGCAGCGACGCUGAUGCGUUGUUGGGUAGGGGAGCGUUCUGUAAGCCUGCGAAGGUGUGCUGUGAGGCAUGCUGGAGGUAUCAGAAGUGCGAAUGCUGACAUAAGUAACGAUAAAGCGGGUGAAAAGCCCGCUCGCCGGAAGACCAAGGGUUCCUGUCCAACGUUAAUCGGGGCAGGGUGAGUCGACCCCUAAGGCGAGGCCGAAAGGCGUAGUCGAUGGGAAACAGGUUAAUAUUCCUGUACUUGGUGUUACUGCGAAGGGGGGACGGAGAAGGCUAUGUUGGCCGGGCGACGGUUGUCCCGGUUUAAGCGUGUAGGCUGGUUUUCCAGGCAAAUCCGGAAAAUCAAGGCUGAGGCGUGAUGACGAGGCACUACGGUGCUGAAGCAACAAAUGCCCUGCUUCCAGGAAAAGCCUCUAAGCAUCAGGUAACAUCAAAUCGUACCCCAAACCGACACAGGUGGUCAGGUAGAGAAUACCAAGGCGCUUGAGAGAACUCGGGUGAAGGAACUAGGCAAAAUGGUGCCGUAACUUCGGGAGAAGGCACGCUGAUAUGUAGGUGAAGUCCCUCGCGGAUGGAGCUGAAAUCAGUCGAAGAUACCAGCUGGCUGCAACUGUUUAUUAAAAACACAGCACUGUGCAAACACGAAAGUGGACGUAUACGGUGUGACGCCUGCCCGGUGCCGGAAGGUUAAUUGAUGGGGUUAGCGCAAGCGAAGCUCUUGAUCGAAGCCCCGGUAAACGGCGGCCGUAACUAUAACGGUCCUAAGGUAGCGAAAUUCCUUGUCGGGUAAGUUCCGACCUGCACGAAUGGCGUAAUGAUGGCCAGGCUGUCUCCACCCGAGACUCAGUGAAAUUGAACUCGCUGUGAAGAUGCAGUGUACCCGCGGCAAGACGGAAAGACCCCGUGAACCUUUACUAUAGCUUGACACUGAACAUUGAGCCUUGAUGUGUAGGAUAGGUGGGAGGCUUUGAAGUGUGGACGCCAGUCUGCAUGGAGCCGACCUUGAAAUACCACCCUUUAAUGUUU
rnacentral:rRNA from 1 species